rnacentral:rRNA from 1 species
GACGAACGCUGGCGGCGUGCUUAACACAUGCAAGUCGAACGGUGAAGCGCUUGCCUUUUUGGUGGGUGUGGAUGAGUGGCGAACGGGUGAGUAACACGUGAGUAACCUGCCCUCUUCUUCUGGAUAACCUCAUGAAAGUGGGGCUAAUACGGGGUAUUCCGGGUCUGUCGCAUGGCGGGUUUGGGAAAGAUUGCGCCUUUGGGUGUUUUCGGUGGGGGAUGGGCUCGCGGCCUAUCAGCUUGUUGGUGGGGUGAUGGCCUACCAAGGCGGUGACGGGUAGCCGGACUGAGAGGGUGGACGGCCACACUGGGACUGAGACACGGCCCAGACUCCUGCGGGAGGCAGCAGUGGGGAAUAUUGCACAAUGGGCGCAAGCCUGAUGCAGCGACGCCGCGUGAGGGAUGGAGGCCUUCGGGUUGGGAACCUCUUUCGCCAGUGAAGCAGGCCUGCUCCUGUGUGGGUGGGUUGACGGUAGCUGGAUAAGAAGCGCCGGCUAACUACGUG